GGGCCUGUAGCUCAAUUGGUUAGAGCCGGCGGCUCAUAACCGCUUGGUUGGGGGUUCGAGUCCCUCCAGGCCCACCA
rnacentral:tRNA from 6 species